rnacentral:tRNA from 2 species
GGGAGUAGCUCAGUUGGCUAGAGCAUCAGCCUUCCAAGCUGAGGGUCGCGAGUUCGAGCCUCGUUUCC